GACGAACGCUGGCGGCGCGCUUAACACAUGCAAGUCGAGCGAAGCGGCGGACGGGUGAGUAACCCGUGAGUAACCUGCCUUAGACUUUGGGCUAGCCUCGGGAAACCGUGAUUAAUACCGAAUAGUCUAAGAUGGACUCGGGUCCGAUUAGCUAGUUGGUGAGGUAACGGCCCACCAAGGCGACGAUGGGUAGCCGGCCUGAGAGGGUGAACGGCCACAUUGGAACUGAGAAACGGUCGAAACACUACGGGAGGCAGCAGAGGGGAAUAUUGCACAAUGGGGGGAACUGUGAGGCAGAGACGCCGCGUGAACGAGGAAGGCUUUCGAGUCGUAAAGCACUGUUAUAUGGGAAGCGGUACCAGAAGAAAAAGCCCCGGCUAACUACGUGCCAGCAGCCGCGGUAAUUC
rnacentral:rRNA from 1 species